AUGUUCGAAGUAAUGCCGGAUCGGGAUCUCGUCGCUUGGGGCGUCAUGCUUGACAGUUAUUGUCAGACUCAAGACUACAGAGAAGCAUUGCUUCUACUCAAUAAGCUGAAGAGAUCAAGAAUGGUGCCUGACCAAGUCAUCCUUGCUACCGUUCUAUCAGCCUGUGGUCAUACACGACAUUUAAGAUCCGGAAAAGUCAUCCACUCAUACAUACUGGUCUCAGACAUUUUUAUCGAUGCCCGCCUCAGUAGUGCCCUCUUAAACAUGUAUGCUAAUUGUGCGGAUAUGGAGAUGGCCAAGAAGCUAUACAGCGGGAUGCAAAGGAAGGACAUGAUAUCAUCAACUGUCAUGGUCCGUGGAUAUGCUAAGAAUGGAAAAAUCGAUAUUGCUCGCUCCAUAUUCAACUGUAUGAUGGAGAAGGAUGUGGUAUCUUGGAGUGCUAUGAUAGCAGGAUAUGCUGAAAAUAACCAACCAAGUGAAGCGUUGAUUUUGUUCAAAGAUAUGCAAGAGUGUGGUGUCUGUCCUGAUGAAAUUACCCUAUUGAGCGUCAUAUCUGCAUGUGCUAAUAUCUGUUCCCUUGACAAAGCCAGAUGGAUCCAUUCGUUUGUUUUGAAUAAUGGGUUUUGUAAGAUAUUGUCCAUUUGCAAUGCUCUUAUUAAUAUGUUCUCAAAAUGUGGAAGUUUGACUCUUGCCUUGAACGUGUUCAAUGCAAUGCCUCGAAAGAAUGUUAUCACCUGGACAAGUAUGAUUUCUGCCUUUGCUAUGCAUGGUGAUGGCAAAUCUGCCUUAGCCCUUUUUGACAAGAUGAAAAGUGAAGGGGUUGAACCUAAUGGCGUGACAUUUCUUGGUUUAUUGUUUGCCUGUUGUCAUGCUGGUUUAGUUGAUGAAGGCCGUUCCUUGUUUGAAUGUAUGGUCCAGGAAUACAGGAUUGAACCCAAGCAUGAGCAUUAUGGCUGUAUGGUGGAUCUUAUGGGAAAGGCUAAACUUCUGCAGGAAGCAGUUGAUCUCAUAAAGUCAAUGCAUGUAAGACCUAAUGUGGCUGUUUGGGGAUCUCUGUUAGCAGCCUGCUGGAUGCAUGGUGAUCUUGAGCUCGGUGCAUUUUCUGCAAGGAAAAUUUUGGAGUUGGAUCCCAAUCACAAUGGAGCAUAUGUGUUUUUAUCGAACAUGCACGCAAAAUCUGGUGACUGGAACAAUGCUCGAGAGGCAAGAGGAGUAAUUGAAGGCCAUAGGGUUUCGAAAGAAACAAGCUGCAGUCGGGUAGAGCUGAAUGGGAUAGUCCACGAUUUUGGAGCUGGAGGUGAGAAACAUCAGGAAAAUCAUAGGACCGUUCUAAAGUUUAGUGGGAUAAUUUCUAAAUGA
rnacentral:rRNA from 1 species